rnacentral:rRNA from 1 species
GAUGAACGCUGGCGGCGUGCUUAACACAUGCAAGUCGAACGGUGAAGCAGGAGCUUGCUCCUGUGGAUCAGUGGCGAACGGGUGAGUAACACGUGAGCAAUCUGCCCUGGACUCUGGGAUAAGCGUUGGAAACGACGUCUAAUACCGGAUACGAGGCGUGGGGGCAUCCCCAACGCCUGGAAAGAACUUCGGUCCAGGAUGAGCUCGCGGCCUAUCAGGUAGUUGGUGAGGUAACGGCUCACCAAGCCUACGACGGGUAGCCGGCCUGAGAGGGUGACCGGCCACACUGGGACUGAGACACGGCCCAGACUCCUACGGGAGGCAGCAGUGGGGAAUAUUGCACAAUGGGCGCAAGCCUGAUGCAGCAACGCCGCGUGAGGGACGACGGCCUUCGGGUUGUAAACCUCUUUUAGCAGGGAAGAAGCGAAAGUGACGGUACCUGCAGAGAAAGCACCGGCUAACUACGUGCCAGCAGCCGCGGUAAGAC